AUAUAUAACCAUACUCAUAUAUAGUAACUAUUUCGUUUAUCUGUGUAUGUGCACUUUUGCGAUGUUACUUAUUUUAUUUAUUUAUUUUUAUUUUUUAACUUUAUUUUUAUAAGGUUACCACUAAAAAUAUAUCAAGAACACCAUCAUUUAAAUCUAUUAUUUUGUGUGAAUAAAGUAAAAAAAUAUAUAACACAUCUCUAAAAAACAAAUAAUAAAAAAAAAUUUAAAUUAGUUUAAAAUGAUUUUAUUUUUUAUAUAAUUUACUGUUUUUAUUUUUUUUUUUUAUUUUUUUUUCUUUUUUUUUUUUUUUUUUAUAUAUUUUAAAAAGUUUUAUUAUAUAUUAUAUAUAUACAUAUUAUAUAUAUACAUAUUAUAUAUAUAUAUAUAAAGCCCGGCUUGUUAAUUUUUUUUUUUUUUAACACUAUUACAUACUUAACUUUUCUUUUUCAUUACUUUAUGCUAAUUUUUUUUUUUUUUUUUUUUUUUUUUU
rnacentral:lncRNA from 1 species